rnacentral:tRNA from 1 species
GCCUGGGUGGCUCAGUCGGUUGAGCCUCUGACUUCAGCUCAGGUGGUGAUCUCGCAGCUGGUGAGUUCCAGCCCUGCCCUCGGGCU